GUUUCUAAAGGAUCGCAGCCUAUCCGUUGGCCUUAGGAGCCAAAAACCCUUGGUGCAAAUCCAAGUAGAAACU
rnacentral:tRNA from 1 species